GAUGAACGCUGGCGGCGUGCCUAAUACAUGCAAGUCGAACGCUGGAAAUCUAGCUUGCUCGAUUGAAGGAGUGGCGAACGGGUGAGUAAUACAUAAGCAACCUACCCACGAAGACUGGGAUAAUCUCUGGAAACGGGGACUAAUACCGGAUAGGUAAUCGGAAGGCAUCUUCUGAUUAUUAAAGGUUAAAAACACUGGUGGAUGGGCUUAUGGCGCAUUAGUUAGUUGGUGAGGUAACGGCCCACCAAGACGAUGAUGCGUAGCCGGCCUGAGAGGGUGAACGGCCACAUUGGGACUGGGACACGGCCCAGACUCCUACGGGAGGCAGCAGUAGGGAAGUUUCGGCAAUGGGGGAAACCCUGACCGAGCAACGCCGCGUGAGUGAUGACGGCCUUCGGGUUGUAAAGCUCUGUUGUAAGGGAAGAACGGUAGAUAGAGAAUAUCUAAAUGACGGUACCUUACCAGAAAGCCACGGCUAACUACGUG
rnacentral:rRNA from 1 species